GACGAACGCUGGCGGCGUGCUUAACACAUGCAAGUCGAACGGAAAGGCCCUGCUUUUGUGGGGUGCUCGAGUGGCGAACGGGUGAGUAACACGUGAGUAACCUGCCCUUGACUUUGGGAUAACUUCAGGAAACUGGGGCUAAUACCGGAUAGGAGCUCCUGCUGCAUGGUGGGGGUUGGAAAGUUUCGGCGGUUGGGGAUGGACUCGCGGCUUAUCAGCUUGUUGGUGGGGUAGUGGCUUACCAAGGCUUUGAUGGGUAGCCGGCCUGAGAGGGUGACCGGCCACAUGGGGAGUGAGAUACGGCCCAGACUCCGACGGGAGGCAGCAGUGGAGAAUAUUGCACAAUGGGCGGAAGCCUGAUGCAGCAACGCCGCGUGCGGGAUGACGGCCUUCGGGUUGUAAACCGCUUUCGCCUGUGACGAAGCGUGAGUGACGGUAAUGUGUAGAGAAGCACCGGCUAACUACGUG
rnacentral:rRNA from 1 species